UACGUAGGGUGCGAGCGUUGUCCGGAAUUAUUGGGCGUAAAGAGCUCGUAGGCGGUGUGUCGCGUCGGCCGUGAAAACCUGGGGCUUAACUCUGGGCGUGCGGUCGAUACGGGCAUCACUAGAGUUCGGCAGGGGAGACUGGAAUUCCUGGUGUAGCGGUGAAAUGCGCAGAUAUCAGGAGGAACACCGGUGGCGAAGGCGGGUCUCUGGGCCGAUACUGACGCUGAGGAGCGAAAGCGUGGGGAGCAAACAGG
rnacentral:rRNA from 1 species